CCUUCCGUGGCUCAGUGGGGAGCAACUGGACAUCGUGAACCUUGUGUUUGUUUUCCAGGCGGCGUGGGUUCGACUCCCACCGGAAGCA